CCUCUAAAGUGGCAUAUACAGUUAUCUAAAAGGAUGUGUAUAUUCAAUAAAACCUCUACCUCUGUUUUGGAGCCAAGAAGAGUGGUACACCAAGUUUAAAAAGAGUUGACUCAUUUAAGUGUUAUGAUGAAGCAUGAAGAUUCGUAAGCAUGAAAAUUUCAGUGGUGUAAUACCCUGUACAUAAAAAAGUGAUUAAUAAACAUUGGCUGAAAUAGACUGGUAUAGUAGAUACCCAUCGGCUGUCUGUGGAGUGGUCUAUCCUUAGCCAUUCAUACAACAGCACCAAGACCUACUGUGGGUCUCUCUGUGCCAUCUAAGUUGAUCCUGAACUCCUGGGUUCAAUGAUCCUCCCAACUCAGCUCAAGUGCCUGGGACUUCUGAUGUAUGCCUGACAUGACUUUUUGGCUUCAUGAGGAUUUCUGAACUUGACUCUGCAGAGUUGAAAUGUGUCUUGUCUAGUGUUUGGGCCUUUAAAAAUAAAACUCAGGUGCCAUAGUCCCCAUAUGACACUGAAAGGUGGAGACCAUGGCCUCUAGAAUAGAAAAUUGCACAAUGGAAAGAGAUAGACUCCAAGCACUGUUGAUCCUGGGUCCUUAUAUAGUUAGCUUCCUUUAGUGUUUUGCUAUUUCAGUUUCCAUUCUACUAGUUAAUGUCUUUUCCUUUCUGUUUGAACUUGUUAGAAGUGAGCAUUUGUCAUGAAUGGCCAAACUCUGCUACAGUCUCCGAAUUUUACUACAGAGGAAGCUGAAGAGAGAUUGUCAUUUGGUAAGGAUACUUAUAAUGCAGAUCCAGUGGCACAAGUGACAGACAUUGCCAACACCUCCGCUCAAACUCAGAAAAGGCAGAAUGAAACCAAACUACCUGACUUGAAGAAAAAGGUACCAAGUGGAAUUGUCUCUGCAAUCCACAGGGCAGAGAGGAGGAAAGAACCCCUUACGUGAGUGGGUGAGGGUCUAUUUUCAAAUAGCUAAAGAUACAUUAAUGGGUAAAGAGGUGGGGUUUACAUAGUUUGAUCUAGGAUCAAUGCAGGGUUUUCCUUACAGUGGUGUAAAAACAGCACAAAUAAGAAGCUAAAUUCAGGGUUUUCCUUGAGAAUAAAUGCAAUACAAAAUAG